ACGGUAUAUCAUUGAGUGUAUGUACAGUGCUUUGCAGGUUGCUUGACCCUGCAAACUCGUUAAUCAUUGUACUAUAAUAUCUAUGAUCAUGAGAAGUAUCACUAGUGUAUCAUCAAUAAUCAUGAAUAAUGUUAUUGUACUCACUGAAUUGGAUCAUUCCAUUGCACAAUGACUAUUACUUAACAACACAUCAGUAUUAUAAUUAGAGUGUCCAUCAGUGUAUAUAGUACAUUAUUAUAUUUCAGUGAUCACUUACACCACAAUAAAGAAAGAAGGACUUUAUAAAAGGAAUUGAAGAGAAGAUCCUUUCUAGUACUGCAAAAUCCAACUGGAAAUGGACCAGAAAAAGAGACGCACAACCAAAAAGACGCAAAACAGCAAAAAGACGCACAGCAACAAAAGGGUGAGGCUGGCUGCUGCAGGUAAAAAAGGCGUGGCUGAUAUACCGUAUUAACUCUUAUUAUAAAAAUCACAAUAGGUGUACACCCAAACUCAGCAUAAAGACCCACUCACUCACACAAGAGCCAAGAGGUGAAGGAUACUGUUAUUAAUGGAUAAAGACUAGCAGCAGCAGUCAGUAGGUAGUGUAGGAUCUGUUGUUAGUACUAGUAGUAUAAUACCAGUGGCAAUAACUCGCGGACUCACUGAUAAACUAGUGGAGAAGAGAAAAGGAGCUGCUCUUGAAUUAGAAAGGU